UCUCUCUCUCUCUCUCUUUCUCUCUUCCUCUCUCUCUCUCUCCUCUAUUGCGUCCUCCUUUUCUCAGCAGCGCAUUCUACUACGACGAUUGUGCUACUGCUGUAGUCCCCGACUGAGUACAAGGGAAAUCCACCCCAACUCACUCACAGUCGUCCUGCGUUAAAGCUGCACUCACACUCUCUAAUAGGCUGGUUGAGACUAGAAGCAUUCGUUUAAAUCUGGCCUUGUCCCCUGGCAACAAAAACCCUGCAUGGUUCUGAAAAGAGGACAUGAGCCUGGGAAACCCUUUUAGGAAAAUAGACGGGAGCUCAAAGCACAGCGGGAACGGAAUGUCCAAAAGGGAAGAAUGAUACCCCGGCCAUAACCGGAUGCAACGUGCUGCUCCUGCAUUGUCGCAAAGGAGCUUCCAGUCUAGUUCCGAACCGUGCCUUCCAGUAUUUAGCCAGUGAUGCCCUGCAUGUUGAGCACACAGCAAGCAGCCCUGACCCGUUGACUCCACUAGACCGCUGAAGGUGUGGUAUCUGGCUCCAAGAUGUUAGCAACAGAUCCUUUAAGUCCAAUAAGUUGUGACAAGGGGCUUCCAUUGAUCGAAGUUGUUUGUCCAGCACAUCCCAAAGAUGCUCGACUGGAUUGAGAUCUGGGGA